UGAUAUUUUGGGAUGGUGUGUAAAUAUUUAUACGAAAUAUUAUUUGUAUUAAUUGUUAUUUCCGUUGAUAUGCAAAUUUUGACGAAUAUUUGCAAUCCAAGGCUGUUUUACAAAUAUUAAGUGAGUAAAUCAACAUGAGUCAUUGGCACUUAGCAAACAUUGCUUGAAAUAUUAGCAAAAAUUACAAUCACCUGAUUGUUCUAGUAAAACAUUUUUUCUAUUUACUAGAAACGUAAAUUUCAAAUGACAGUUUUGUCAAUUAAGUAAUUAAUUUUAUUCAAAUCAUGAUUUGGUAUAAAUUUUAUAACGUUGAAUUUAGUGUUUAACUAAAUAAAAAUUAUGGAUCAACCAUCAGAGGGUAAAAUUUCCCAUAGACCGAAGAAGCCAUUAUGCAUAUCAAUCAUUAUGAUUGUUUUGGUUCUUAUAAACACUUCAGCAUUCAGUUGCUUUGCGAUAUACAAAUAUCAAAUGGAAGAAACAUCUCCCGUUGGACGAUAUCUCGUCAGUCAAUAUUAUAUGUUCACUAAUUUAGACCCGCACCGUAAUAAAUCCUGUCGUUAUAAUGCCGAAGAAGAACUGGAAUGUGAUUUCUAUAUUCCAAGAGGUGCCUUUAUGCGACCCCAAGGCGAUGACGACGAUGCGGGAUAUUACGAAGAGGCAGAAAGCGCGCAAGCAAAAUCCAAAAGAAAAACAACCAAAUCAUCAGUGGUUAAACAUAAGAAAAAAGGAUUGGGUACCAAUCGGACAACUACUACAGAUAGCUCAAGAAACACAGAUAAUACAACUGAAACUUCCAAUGAAUUUCCAAACUCAACCUUUGCACAACCAACAACUGAAGAAUCACUUACAAAACCGUCGAAUACAACCGAAUUUGACAUUUAUCACAUUCUUUUUCCCCAAUUUCCUGCACAACGCCGUAAAUUCCAGUCAAAUACAGUCCAACAAAAGAAAAAACCUCCUGUAACAUAAUUUGUAACACUCCAGGUAAUACAAUGCACUUACAUAAAAUAAAAACAAAGUGUAAAGUUUAAAUUUAAA